rnacentral:misc_RNA from 1 species
UGAUGAACACUGCAUCAAGAUUCUGAAGAAUUGCCAUGAUGCUUUGCCAAAGGGUGGGAAGGUGAUUGUUGUGAGCCAUAUAAUGCCAGAAGUAAUGGACCCAAGCAUUGCUACUAAAUAUGUUUGCCAAUUGGAUGUGAUGAUGUUUCUGUUCCCUGGAGGGAAGCAAAGGACCGAGAAAGAGUUCAAGGCCCUAGGUAAUACCGCUGGAUUUUCAGGAUUUCAAUUCAUUUGCUAUGUUGCUUAUAACGCGGUGGGUGUCCUGGAAUUCUACAAAUAAGCUAUCAGCUAUUUUAGGUUUGUAGAUUGAAUUAUCAUUGUCGUGAAUGUCUUUCAAUAAAUGUCUAGGUUGUGCUCCAGAAUUUCUCUCAAUGUUUUUGAUAUCUAGCUUGUUCUGGAAUUCAACGUUGAAAUGUAAUCUGUAGUUUUAGUUGGAGAUUAAUAUCAGUUGAAUAUUACUGUUGAG